CCACACACUCCAACACCCCUCUCAUCCAGACAUUCCUUCAUAGUGUUCAUCUGCCUCACUCUAGGUUUCAUAACUUAUUAUAUUCAUUCUGAUGUUACUGUACAUUUUGCUGUUCCCUCCACCUCACAUACGGUAUAGGCUAUAGUUCAUCAUCCUAUAGACAAUAUGGCUCCUUUAAACUAUAAUUUUUACCAUUCAUCACCAUUCCUCUAUCCUGUUUGACAAUAUGGUUCCUUUAAACUAUAAUUUUUACCAUUCAUCACCAUUCCUCUAUCCUGUUUGACAAUACGGUUCCUUUAAACUAUAAUUUUUACCAUUCAUCACCAUUCCUCUAUCCUGUUUGACAAUAUGGCACCUUUAAACUAUAAUUUUUACCAUUCAUCACCAUUCCUCUAUCCUGUUUGACAAUACGGUUCCUUUAAACUAUAAUUUUUCCCAUUCGUUACCAAAUCUCUAUCCUGUUUGAAAGCUGGAGUGAUAAAAAAGUAUCCUCUCCAAUCUCUCUCCUUCCAGCUGCAUCUUUCACUCCCAUCACAGGACCUACAGCCUCAGUUUUUUUAUUAACCUUUACUUUCAGCAUCUCCUUUACCAACUCAUGCCCCAACUCCUUUACAGGUUCUGCAGUGUUUACUUACUGAUGAUCACAACAGUGUCAUCUUUACACUCUCCAAACCCUUCCAUCUUUCUCUAGAAUUUGUUUCCUUUUCCACAUCCCUACAUAUCAUUGGAUGGGAUGCGCUGUAUGGCCAGAUGAUUGUUGUUAUAUGCUUCCACAAGGCAUGUCAGUAAAUGUAGAUCUUUUUUUUUUAAGAUGUUAAUGGACAGUAUUUGUAGUGAAAACUUAUGUUGCACCACACAGUAAUGUUACUGUGUGAUGUGAACCAUACAGUAAAAAUGUCAGGAAUAUAAAUAAUUUUUUUCUUCUAUUUUUUCAUGCAAAAUACAGAAUUCACUUCUUGCAAUAUUACAGUGCUGCAGUAUAGUACAGUAUUUAUCUUUUCUAUGCUAACAUUAGGCCAAACAUAUUACUGUACUCUGUUGUCCAAUUCAUUUACAACUUCAUCUAAAAAUUGGGAGUAAUUUUUUCACAGACCUUAUUAAAAUGGUCUUGUAUCUUGUCUGUGCCUUAAGAAUGUCUCUUCAUGUAAACUUGUUUACCCUCUUAUUGACAAAGGUUUGUUCAAGUUUCAGAUUGAAAUUAAUAUCUUGCAUCCAUUGACAUUCUAUUUUUCCUCGUGCUCCUUAAAUGUUGUGCCCUGAUUCAUCCCAGUACUAUUCCUUAUACUAAUUGUUGCUUCAGGAAGCUUGAACCCUGAGACCCUUAAUAUAUAAUUUUAGUUGGAAAAUUUAUACCGUACUGUACUGGUUUAUUCGGGUUUGUGAUCUGAUGACCAAAGUAAUACAAAAUAAAACUAUGAUACACAAGAGUCAAUAUCAAUACUGUACCUUUUUUUUUAUUUUACCUCAGGAAUAUACUCUUCCUUGGACAGAAUAAUAAUCCCUGUUAUACAUAUUUAAAUGUCUGAUCUCCCAAUAUAUUUCAGUUUCCCAUUAUUAGCUUUCUCUAUCAGUAUUUUUCACUUGAUAAAACUUUAUUUCUUAGCCACUGCGCGAUCUGACGGUGGUGGCCGGAGAGGCAUUGCGUCUAGAGUGCGUGGUGCAGGCAGACCCUCCCGUCCAGGUGACAUGGUCCAAGGGGGGCAUCAUCCUCCAGAACGGACCAGACUACCAGAUAGUUUACAGAAACGGUGUUUGUAGAUUGAUCAUUCCCCAGGUCUUCCCAGAGGAUGAAGGAGUGUUCACCAGCACUGCUGUCAAUCUACUUGGGAUGGACUCGACUAGUGCUACUGUCUGUAUCACAGGUGAGAAGAAGUAAUCUUCAAGAUGAGUAGAGUCUCCUUCUGCUGCUACUGCUGCUGGUACUUCUGCUACUGGGCUGCUACAGUCUUCUGUCAAAGACUUGUAUGGUGGUGGUGGUAUCGUAGUAAGGACUGGUUUUAGUGGUAGAUACUUCUCUAUGUAAGCUCUCUAUAAGUCAGAGUUCCACUUCUUUCAGAUUGGCUGGGGCAUCACUCUAGUUCUAAGUUAAUGUAGGAAAGUGAAAGUUAUUUGUGAACUGAUCUGCUUUGUAUUUGGUGAUGGUAAUAAUAUUUUUAUUUCCAAAGAAUUUUUCAAAAGAUAUUAAGGGUUUGGUACCAUGAGAAAGCAUAAGUUGAAAAAUAGUCUCUUCCCUCCAAUACAUUUUAGCACUGUGAAGGAAAAUGGUGAAAUCAGUGUACAGUAUAGUGUAAAUGGAUAAAAAAUUGAAAGGUCACAGUUACUUCCAAGGGCAUUGUAAAUAUCAUCGAUCGUUAAUAAACAGUUAAGCACUGCCUUUUUAUUUAAGUGAAUUGUUAACUAUUUUUGCAUUUUAGUCAGAAAAAAUCUGUUGUAUUGGACAUGUAAUAUGCAGAGUUAUGCAUUUUACUCUAGUCAGACCCAGUGUGGGCAUGAGCUGACUUCUCUCUCUUAAAGGUUCCUAGUCAGUUAUAGGCAUCUCUGUGAUCUUCUCGGGCCUGGUUAAAAAUGAUCAUGGAAUUUUUCAGCGUCAUAAGUGUGUAAGUUAAAAUCUCUGUAGCUUUAGUUAUUUCUGAGUCAUGAGCGCAGUGUUGAUGAUUACGCUUCAUUUGCAUUUGAGCAAAUAUUGUUCUUGUAAAUAAUUAUUCACAGUUUUGUCUUCCAUGCAUAUCUUACAAAGUGCCUUCGAAACUGCCUACAUGCACACCUUUCCAGAGAAUCUCUUCUUUAUAAGAUAAAGUCCACUUUCUUCACUGUCCCCUCCUUUUACUGCUUCCAUUCCCCAUCUCUUGAGAACUAAAACUUGAGGCUGUCCGGAUUGCAUGUACGACGAUAGUCUGCUGCAAGAAAUAUGAUAUACAACGUGUGUACUCUGAUGUACAGUUGUAUUACUUGAACAUUUUCUGGUUAUGUGAAGCAUCAUGCCUCUAGAACCCACUGAUCUUAGGUGUCUUGGUCUGUUUGACAUUGAAAUUUAGUUCCAAAUAACAUUAAUCUCCUGUGAGCAUAUGUUUUUAGUUGUCUCUGUGUCUUGUGGAUUGGCUUAUAAUACAUUAAGUUACAAGUAUGUUUAAGGCAUGAUGCUAAUGUCAGACUUACUGCUGUAUAUAUAUGCCAAAACUUCAUGUUUCUUCUUUCUUUAUGUAUCUUCGUUUUAAAAAAUUGAAGGUUAGAAUUAAUCAGUUAUGUUGCUAGAAGGAAAGUGAAUCUUUUGAAUGUCAAUUGUUUAAAAUUUGCUUUUUGUUAACACACAUAUUGUUUUAAGUUAUCCAGAUUUCUAAUAACUAUAAUAUUCCCCAAAAAAUGAAUUAAGGUUCCAAGAAGUUUUUUUAUAAAUGGGGUCCUAAUACUUAAAAGGAUACUGAGGAACACAAAGUUUCCUUUGAUUUUUUUGCAGUUUCUAUCAUGUUACUGUUUCCAGUUUAUGUAUAUUUCUCACUGUCAUUCAAACAAUGAGAGAGCAGCGUCUUCUUGUGAAUUGUGCUACCAGUUUGUUCAUCAAUUAGAUCAGUUAGCUGUUGUUUAUAGCUAGUAGGCAACUCUCUGGCCUCCUAUUGUGGUGGCUUGGUUCAAUAAAACUAUUUAACUA
rnacentral:lncRNA from 1 species